rnacentral:rRNA from 1 species
CGGCGGACGGGUGAGUAAUGCCUGGGAAUAUGCCUUAGUGUGGGGGAUAACUAUUGGAAACGAUAGCUAAUACCGCAUAACGUCUACGGACCAAAGAGGGGGACCUUCGGGCCUCUCGCGCUAAGAUUAGCCCAGGUGGGAUUAGCUAGUUGGUGGGGUAAAGGCUCACCAAGGCAACGAUCCCUAGCUGGUCUGAGAGGAUGAUCAGCCACACUGGAACUGAGACACGGUCCAG